UACGUAGGGGGCAAGCGUUGUCCGGAUUUAUUGGGCGUAAAGAGCGUGUAGGCGCCAGGUAGGUCCGUUGUGAAAACUCGAGGCUCAACCUCGAGACGCCGAUGGAAACCACCUGGCUAGAGUCCGGAAGAGGAGAGUGGAAUUCCUGGUGUAGCGGUGGAAUGCGCAGAUAUCAGGAGGAACACCGAUGGCGAAGGCAGAUCUCCUGGGCCGUAACUGACGCUGAGGAGCGAAAGCGUGGGGAGCAAACAGG
rnacentral:rRNA from 1 species